CCUACGGGAGGCAGCAGUGAGGAAUAUUGGUCAAUGGGCGCGAGCCUGAACCAGCCAAGUAGCGUGAAGGAUGACUGCCCUACGGGCUGUAAACUUCUUUUAUAAAGGAAUAAAGUGAGGCACGUGUGCCUCUUUGUAUGUACUUUAUGAAUAAGGAUCGGCUAACUCCGUGCCAGCAGCCGCGGUAAUACGGAGGAUCCGAGCGUUGUCCGGAUUUAGUGGGUUUAAAGGGAGCGUAGAUGGGUUGUUAAGUCAGUUGUGAAAGUUUGUGGCUCAACCGUAAAAUUGCAAUUGAUACUGGCAACCUUGAGUACAGUUGAGGUAGGCGGAAUUCGUGGUGUAGCGGUGAAAUGCGUAGAUAUCACGAAGAACUCCGAUUGCGAAGGCAGCUUACUAAACUGCCACUGACAUUGAUGCUCGAAAGUGUGGGUAGCAAACAGGAUUAGAUACCCCAGUAGUC
rnacentral:rRNA from 1 species